rnacentral:hammerhead_ribozyme from 1 species
AUACUGUUGAGGAGUUCCACAAUAGGACGAAACGGCCGUCCAAU